rnacentral:rRNA from 1 species
AGAGUUUGAUCCUGGCUCAGAACGAACGCUGGCGGCGUGGAUUAGGCAUGCAAGUCGAGCGAGACCUUGUAGACGGAUUCUUCGGAUGAAGACUACAAGUGAGAGCGGCGAACGGGUGAGGAAUACUUGAGUAACUUGCCCUCUAGUUCGGGAUAGCCAUCGGAAACGAUGGGUAAUACCGAAUGUGAUCGUCCCGUGCAUACGGGAUUGUUCAAAGGGGAGGAAUCCUUCGGGAUCUUCUCGCUAGAGGAUAGGCUCAAGCCCUAUCAGCUUGUUGGUGAGGUAAUGGCUCACCAAGGCUUAGACGGGUAGCUGGUCUGAGAGGAUGGUCAGCCACACUGGGACUGAGACACUGCCCAGACUCCUACGGGAGGCUGCAGUCGAGAAUCAUUCACAAUGCGCGAAAGCGUGAUGAUGCGACGCCGCGUGGAGGAUGAAGGCCUUCGGGUUGUAAACUCCUGUCAGAUGGAAUUAAAUGCAUGUCGGAAUAACACCCUUCAUGUUUGACUUUACCAUCAGAGGAAGCCACGGCUAACUUCGUGCCAGCAGCCGCGGUAAUACGAAGGUGGCGAGCGUUGUUCGGAUUUACUGGGCGUAAAGGGUGCGUAGGCGGUUUUGUAUGUCGGAUGUGAAAGCCCACGGCUUAACCGUGGAAUUGCAUUCGAAACUGCAGGACUUGAGUAUCGGAGAGGUAAGUGGAAUUCUUGGUGUAGCGGUGAAAUGCGUAGAUAUCAAGAGGAACACCGGUGGCGAAGGCCGACUUACUGGACGAAUACUGACACUGAUGCACGAAAGCUAGGGUAGCGAAGAGGAUUAGAUACCCUCGUAGUCCUAGCCGUAAACGGUGUACACUUGGUGUAGGAGGAUUUAUCCCCUUCUGUGCCGGAGCUAACGCGUUAAGUGUACCGCCUGGGGAGUACGGCCGCAAAGAUUAAAACUCAAAGGAAUUGACGGGGGCCCGCACAAGCGGUGGAGCAUGUGGCUUAAUUCGAUGCAACGCGAAGAACCUUACCUGGCCUUGACAUGCCUGUCGUAUCCCUGUGAAAGCAGGGAGUCAGCUCGGCUGGACAGUGCACAGGUGCUGCAUGGCUGUCGUCAGCUCGUGCCGUGAGGUGUUGGGUUAAGUCCCGCAACGAGCGCAACCCUUGUCUUUAGUUGCCAUCAGGGAGUGAUCCGCUGGGCACUCUAGAGAGACUGCCGGUGAUAAGCCGGAGGAAGGUGGGGAUGACGUCAAGUCAGUAUGGUCCUUAUGCCCAGGGCUGCACACGUGCUACAAUGGCCGGUACAAUGGGACGCUAAACCGCGAGGUGGAGCAAAUCCUCAAAACCGGCCCCAGUUCGGAUUGGAGUCUGCAACUCGACUCCAUGAAGUCGGAAUCGCUAGUAACGGCGUAUCAGCUACGACGCCGUGAAUACGUUCCCGGGCCUUGUACACACCGCCCGUCACAUCAUGGAAGUUGACUGCACCCGAAGUCGCUGUUCCAACCCGCAAGGGGGGAAGGUGCCGAAGGUGUGGUGGGUGACUGGGAUGAAGUCGUAACAAGGUAGCCG